GAUGAAGAACGUAGCGAAAUGCGAUAAGUAAUGUGAAUUGCAGAAUUCAGUGAAUCAUCGAAUCUUUGAACGCACCUUGCGCCCUUUGGCUAUUCCGAAGGGCAUGCCUGUUUGAGUAUCAUGAACACCUCAACUCUCAUGGCUUGCCAUGAUGAGCUUGGACUUUUGGGGGUCUUGCUGGCCUGUGGUCAGCUCCUCUCAAAUGAAUUAGCCUGCCAGUGUUUGGUGGCAUCACAGGUGUGAUAACUAUCUACGCUUGUGGUUUUCCACCAGGUAACCUUCAGUGAUGAAGGUUCGCUGGGGCUCAUAAACGUCUCUCCUCAGUGAGGACAGCUCUUAGAACGUUUGAUCUCAAAUCAGGUAGGACUACCCGCUGAACUUAAGCAUAUCAAUAAGCGGAGGA
rnacentral:misc_RNA from 1 species